ACUAUUUGAGGUGGUAAAUUUCGCUGCAACUACACACCCUACGGAUUAAAAAGAGAUGCAGGAGCCGCGGCACCUGCCAAAUACU
rnacentral:ncRNA from 1 species